GGACACGUGACCGCAUCUUGCGGUCCGUGCCCGCCUUCAUUCGAGAGCCGCGCGCGGCAGGAAGUGAGGACCUCGGCCGCCCCCCGGGUAAGGUAAGUAUCGCUACAGCACUUGGACCCCAAGUCGGAACAAAUCUGGGAACAGCCCAAAGCAACUUACCCUAUUCGCCACACCACAUGCCAGGCUGGGGGAACACACCGAUCUGCCCG